GAGUACUCAGCUAAGAAAAAAAAGUGUCGCCUACGUUUCAUAUUGUAAGAUUCUCUAGCUUAGUCUGAAUUUAUUAAUUAAUAAAUGUAUAUAAUUUAUAGGUAUAUAUAUGUCUAGAUUAAUUAGCAUUCAUAUAAAAGUCUUACACCGUGAAACGGAAGAAGCAGUUGGUUUUUCUUAAACGCGGCAUAGAUGUAAGAACACAACAGCCUAUCAAAAAUCAUAUGAAUGGUAUUAUGGGAU
rnacentral:lncRNA from 1 species